UACGGAGGGGGUCAGUGUUGUUCGGAAUCACUGGGCGUAAAGGGCGCGUAGGCGGCCUGAUAAGUAGGGGGUGAAAUCCUGCGGCUUAACCGCAGGGCUGCCUUCUAAACUGUCGGGCUAGAGCACGGUAGAGGCAGAUGGAAUUCCCGGUGUAGCGGUGGAAUGCGUAGAGAUCGGGAAGAACAUCAGUGGCGAAGGCGGUCUGCUGGGCCGUUGCUGACGCUGAGGCGCGACAGCGUGGGGAGCAAACAGG
rnacentral:rRNA from 1 species